rnacentral:rRNA from 1 species
UGGGGAAUUUUGGACAAUGGGCGAAAGCCUGAUCCAGCAAUGCCGCGUGUGUGAAGAAGGCCUUCGGGUUGUAAAGCACUUUUGUCCGGAAAGAAAUCCUCUGGGUUAAUACCUCGGGGGGAUGACGGUACCGGAAGAAUAAGCACCGGCUAACUACGUGCCAGCAGCCGCGGUAAUACGUAGGGUGCAAGCGUUAAUCGGAAUUACUGGGCGUAAAGCGUGCGCAGGCGGUUUUGUAAGACGGAUGUGAAAUCCCCGGGCUUAACCUGGGAACUGCAUUCGUGACUGCAAGGCUAGAGUAUGGCAGAGGGGGGUAGAAUUCCACGUGUAGCAGUGAAAUGCGUAGAGAUGUGGAGGAAUACCGAUGGCGAAGGCAGCCCCCUGGGCCAAUACUGACGCUCAUGCACGAAAGCGUGGGGAGCAAACAGGAUUAGAUACCCUGGUAGUCCACGCCCUAAACGAUGUCAACUAGUUGUUGGGGAUUCAUUUCCUUAGUAACGUAGCUAACGCGUGAGGUUGACCGCCUGGGGAGUACGGUCGCAAGAUUAAAACUCAAAUGAAUUGACGGGGUCAUAGCUGUUUCC